rnacentral:snoRNA from 1 species
GGCUCUAUACUAAUCCUUUUUGGCUGGCCUGUGGUCUCCAGGAUUUGCUUGUGGACCAGAGCACCCAAGAAGUCCCACCCACCAGUAAGGGCCUCUGUAACCCCUUGCAUGAGUGAUUCUAGACACUC